UUAUAUUGUGGCUAAUGAAGGAGUUAAAAAGUCCUGUAAGUUCUUCGAUGAUAUUGUAUGAGCGAUUAAAAUCCAGUCAGUUGCAACAACAAUUAAAGCAGCAGGAAACAGCCAAGUACACAUGCAAGUGAUUGUUAUGAGGAUUGCAAAACUUUUAAAUAUCAGAAACUGAAGAAAGCAUUCAUAAUCAGCAGAUAUCAAAAAAGCGCAAAAGUACUGAUUUUACAACUCUUUUAAAGUUGAGGAAGAAUUUUAUGUUAAUGUUAAUGCAAAAGGUACGAAUAUUGACAGGUUAGCUAAUUUGAUGUAACAAUAAACAUGAAAUAAAGUUUGUGAAGACCUUAGUGCCAAAAAUACUUGCAUGCAUUAUUCAUGCAUGCUGUAUUAUAAUAUAGCAUGCAUGCAUGAUGCAUUUAAGUAUAAAAAAAAGUUACAAAUGUUUAAUUAUACAAAAAGAUUAUGGAUGUGGUACUGCAAGUAUAUUCAAUUGAUUAUGCAAGUAAGUUGUCCUACUUUACAUCUUUGAAGACUAAUAAUAAUUGUAAUGAACAUAUCUCAGACAAUAUACACUCGGAUUUAUAUUUUAGUUAAACCAUCACCACUUCCACAGCCACCUUGUCUCAAGCAUUAAAUCGCAUUCUAAGAUAUCUUUAUUCAAAUUAAGUGUGACUACUUUACCAAAAGACUCUAGAAUGGACCAAUCAA
rnacentral:lncRNA from 1 species